rnacentral:piRNA from 1 species
UUGGAGAAUCACUAAGACGGUGUUUCCUCA